rnacentral:lncRNA from 1 species
UUAUAACUCUUCCUCCAUCCUAUUACAUUUCUACUGAAAUUAGAAGCUCCUUAGAAGCACUGUCUGCUCCUCUUAGUACAAAUCCAAGCCCAAUAGGGACCUCUGAAUCCUUAAGGACAAACACAAUAAUAGCAGUUAAGGGCACCAAGGGAGGGAGUGGGUCAGCCAUCUUCCCUCACCAUUCAUCUUAGUGAGCUGAAAGGUUCACAUCGGUACAAAUUCGAAGGCAGAUGACUGACAGCACUACUUCCACGUGGCAAAAAGUCUGCAAAUAAACUGUGGAGCAGGUGUUCAGUGGAAUUAAGUGAUUCACGGUAAUUUACAGCGGCAGAAGCAUCAAUUUGAGAAUUGCUAAAGUCUGCUGCUGAUCUUCCAGAAAGGCAACCAGUCUUCAAAUGGGGAAUUCACUAUUGAUCUUGAAGUGAACUAUAUACCUUAUUUUUGAACUGCAUUUAUCUUCUUCUACUUUCCAAAAGAUGGGGGAAAAUGACAGAAGAUAUUCUUGCACUCCAAAAAAAAAGUGCGCUGUCCUGAAGGAAAGAGAUGUUAUUUAAAGUCUUAAGGAUGUUUAAAUGUGAGGAUACUGGUCCUGGAAGAUCCUUUUCAACCUUUAGGAAGGAGCUGGAUUUUCAGGAAGAAGUCAAGCUCUUCAUACCAAUGAUAAAACUAGAAAAUGUUCCUUCCUGUUUCUCUCCCCUCCUCCCACUCCCUCAUUUAAUCAAUAGCUGGAAAUUUCUGGAGUUUUGCAAUGGAAGAUCAAAUAUUUCUGCAAGAAUUGGCAAAGCUGCUAAGGGCACGAUAAUUACAGUGAGCAACACUCAUGGAAUCAGGCUCUGCAUUGACUCACGUUAUUUCAUUCAAGUGAGGAAUUAAAUUUAUACAAUGGAUUUGUUGAUGACUGAUUUGGUUGUCUAUGUAUUACAAAUGAGAAAGUUACAAAAAUAUCAACAUGCAAACAAUGUAAUCAUGUAUUACAAUUGAUUUUCACUGCAGUGUAUAGGAUUUCAGUUGUUAUUUUCAAUUGCAGGCAAUUUAAACUUAAAUGUUAAGGAAAAUGGGAAAUUCUGACUUUGUGAAGGGAAAGAAGGGACUUCUCAUGCAGAAAAAGCAUCUAAUUGAGAUCUUGGCCAAGACUGGUAAAUAUGUGAUCACAGCAUAGAAAUAGAUUUAUUUACAUAGCACUCUAUCUGAGGGUUCAUAUGGUCCUAAUAUACAUACACAUCAUUUGUAUCUGAAGUAAUUCAAUAAACACUGACCCACCCACA